ensembl:piRNA 21ur-7976 ncRNA
UAGUAUGUCUGAUAUAAAACA